rnacentral:tRNA from 1 species
ACCCUGUGGUCUAGUGGCUAAGACUUUGUGCUUUCAUUGCUGCAUCCUAGGUUCAAUUCCCAGUCAGGGAA